rnacentral:rRNA from 1 species
GACGGAGGGGGCUAGCGUUGUUCGGAAUUACUGGGCGUAAAGAGUGCGUAGGCGGAUCGGUAAGUUGAAAGUGAAAUCCCGGGGCUCAACCUCGGAAUUGCUUUCAAAACUGUCGGUCUAGAGUAUAAUAGGGGACGAUGGAAUUCCUAGUGUAGAGGUGAAAUUCUUAGAUAUUAGGAGGAACACCGGCGGCGAAAGCGGUCGUCUGGGUUAUAACUGACGCUGAGGCACGAAAGCGUGGGGAGCAAACAGG